GUCUUGAAGAAGAAAUUAGGAACCUAAUAUAUCAAUAGACUUAAAAUAGUAGCUUAUCGAUCCAAGAGAGCAAUUAUGCUUCAGGUAGUGAGUUAGUACCUACCGGUUUGCCGUACAGGGACACCAACCAUGAGGACUUCAUAUCAAUACAUCAAAUGAGACUACCUUUACACGUACAAAUUAUCUCAUGUAUAGGUAACAACCCAAUAAAACUGUAUUGUGCAGCUGGGGAUGAAUUUGUACCAUUUGGAAACUUGUACAGAUACCAAUCGACAGAACCUUAUGAUGGAAGGAAUUGCCAAAUAGUUCUUCCCCCGAUACAGCAAGAAAAAGUAGGAAUACAAGCAACAAGAAGCACAGAGUAGACAACAUAUGAUUUUGUUGCACAUCAUGGAGG